rnacentral:sRNA from 1 species
UCCUAGCCCUGAUUGAAACGGAAAUCCUUUUUGUUUUUUCUUUAAAAAUAAAAAGAUUGCAGAGAAGCAGGAAACAGC